GAUCCAAUACCACUGUUCCUUCACUGUGCUAGUUUUCAUUCCACUUAUUGGACUUAUGGGCUAUUCAUGGAGGGGUAAUAAAGUCCAGCCAAGUGGCUGAGUAAUAUGGAUGUCUUUGGAAUGGUUGGUUCAGAGAGAAGUUCUCUGUGUGGAUGUAUUUGUGCUCAUGAGCAUAGGGUAUCCAUGCACAUCUCAGAUUCCCGAACUCUGGAUUAAGUAAAAUUUGAGUGGGCUUGUGCUGAGCGAAAUUUUCUUCUGGUUGGUUUAUCCAGAAACAGACUCCGAGAGAAGGAUUGCGGUACACCCUGUUUAUUUGGGAGGUGAAGGAACCCUAGGAAGGGGAGGAGAGAAUAAGGCAGGGAUGGGGAGAAAGAAAUUCCUUCCCCUGCAGGAUUAGAGGGAAUGUGUGCAAAGUGUCUGGAAGAGAGAGACAGAGCAUGAGCCCGGAAGGGGACAGAGAGAGAGGGAGACACAGAAUCUGAAGCAGGCUCCAGGCUCCGAGCUGUCAGCACAGAGCCUGAUGUGGGGCUCCAACUCAGGGACUGUGAGAUCAUGACCUGAGCUGAAGUCAGACGAUUAACCAACUGAGCCACCCAGGUGUCCCCCCA